rnacentral:tRNA from 1 species
AAAUGCAUGGUUAAAAGGGUAAUUUCUUUUGAUUAAAACAAAAAAAACCGACAAGUGAUUGUCGGUUUUUUUGUUUUUAUUCAGAUUGCAUUUG